rnacentral:rRNA from 1 species
GAUGAACGCUGGCGGCGUGCCUAAUACAUGCAAGUCGAGCGAGGGGGGCAGCAAUGCCCUUCGAGCGGCGUACGGGUGAGUAACACGUUGGGAACCUGCCCCCUUGACCGGAAUACCCGAAGGAAACUUCGGCUAAUGCCGGAUAUGGCGCCUAGACAUAAGUCUUCGCGCUGAAAGGCUGCCUUACAGCAGCGCAUCGGGAUGGACCUGCGGCGGAUUAGCUAGUUGGCGGGACAAUAGCCCACCAAGGCGAGGAUCCGUAGCCGAACUGAGAGGUUAAUCGGCCACAUUGGAACUGAGAUACGGUCCAAACUCCUACGGGAGGCAGCAGUAGGGAGUAUUCGGCAAUGGGGGGAACCCUGACCGAGCAACGCCGCGUGAGCGAUGAAAGGCUUCGGCCUGUAAAGCUCUGUGACAGGGGACGAAUGGCGCCUUCAGGAAAUGGGGGGCGCUCGACGGUACUCUGUUAGAAAGCUACGGCUAACUACGUGCCAGCAGCCGCGGUAAUACGUAGGUAGCAAGCGUUAUCCGGAAUUAUUGGGCGUAAAGAGUGAGCAGGCGGCCUGCUAAGUCCGAAGUCAAAUGCCGUGGCUUAACCACGGUUCGCUUCGGAAACUGGCGGGCUAGAGUGCGGGAGAGGCAGAUGGAACUCCGAAUGUAGCGGUGAAAUGCACAGAUAUUCGGAAGAACACCAGUGGCGAAGGCGGUCUGCCAGCCCGAUACUGACGCUCAGUCACGAAAGCGUGGGGAGCAAAUAGGCUUAGAUACCCUAGUAGUCCACGCCGUAAACGUUGAGAACCAGAUGCCGGGUUAGAAGCUCGGCGUCAAAGCAAACGCAUUAAGUUCUCCGCCUGGGUACUACGUUCGCAAGAAUAAAACUUAAAGGAAUUGACGGGGACCCGCACAAGCAGUGGAGCAUGUGGUUUAAUUCGACGCUACGCGAAAAACCUUACCAGGGUUUGACAUCCCGCCUAAGACCGUGGAAACACGGGGAUAACAGGCGGCGAAAGGUGGUGCAUGGUUGUCGUCAGCUCGUGUCGUGAGAUGUUGGGUCAAGUCCCAAAACGAGCGCAACCCUUGCCCUCAGUUGCCACCAGGUGAAGCUGGGCACUCUGGCGGGACCGCCGGCGACAAGCCGGAGGAAGGCGGGGACGACGUCAAGUCAUCACGGCCCUUAUGUCCUGGGCCACACACGUGCUACAAUGGCCGGUACAGAGCGAGGCGGAGCCGGAAGGCCGAGCGGACCGCAGAAAGCCGGCCACAGUACGGACUGGGGUCUGCAACCCGACCCCACGAAGUUGGAAUCGCUAGUAAUCGCGCAUCAGCAUGGCGCGGUGAAUACGUUCCCGGGCCUUGUACACACCGCCCGUCAAGCCAUGGAAGUUGGGGGUACCUGAAGUCCGUAACCGUAAGGAGCGGCCUAGGGUAAAACCAGUGACUGGGGCU